ensembl:lncRNA
CCACUCAGGCAUCAUUCAAACUUGCUCUGCAGGCAGUUCCUGUCAGAAGGAAGAGGCACAGCAGGUGCGCCGGGGGGCGGAAGACGGUGCCUCAGUGCCUCUCUCCUUCUGACAUUGUUAAAAAAAAACCCAACAAAUUUAUAAUUAUUUAUAUUUUUAUAUGUAGGUAAUGUCCUCAAGUUCUUGAUAACCACUUUUUCCUCUCUCUCUGUUUGUGUGUAUUGUUUUGUCUCUUUCAAACAGGUGCCGGUCCUCACCUCUGCAGUGCUGCUGUCUCCUGUAACGCUGCAUGGUCCUAAGCUACGUUUUCUUUCUUUUUUUUUUUGUUCUUGUAAUUUUUGUCCUCAGGUGAGGUUUGAAGUGUCUGUGUUGUGCAGCUGGUCUGGUCUGUCUCUAGACAGUCCAGGCUGUACCCAUCAGUAAAUGGUGGAGGCUCACAAGGACAACACAUAAGUUUCUGAACAACUCUGCGGGAGGGUUUCUCCGACGAAGUGAAGGCCGUGAGGCACAGCUCCCCGUCCCCCGGUGACCCUGCUAGGUCCACCUUCUUAGGGAAACCCUCUGCAGAGGAGCUGAGAGAGCCAGGAACUUAUAAGUUGUGUUUGUCCACUCAGGCAUCAUUCAGACUUGCUCUGUAGACAGUUCCUGUCAGAAGGAAGAGGCACAGCAGGUGCGCCGGGGGGCGGAAG